rnacentral:rRNA from 1 species
UACGUAGGGUGCGAGCGUUGUCCGGAUUUAUUGGGCGUAAAGAGCUCGUAGGCGGUUUGUCGAGUCGGCCGUGAAAUCUCCACGCUUAACGUGGAGCGUGCGGUCGAUACGGGCAGACUUGAGUUCGGUAGGGGAGACUGGAAUUCCUGGUGUAGCGGUGAAAUGCGCAGAUAUCAGGAGGAACACCGGUGGCGAAGGCGGGUCUCUGGGCCGAUACUGACGCUGAGGAGCGAAAGCGUGGGGAGCGAACAGG